GACAGAGGGUGCAAACGUUGUUCGGAAUUACUGGGCGUAAAGCGAGUGUAGGCGGUCUUGUAAGUCGGAUGUGAAAGCCCCGGGCUCAACCCGGGAAGUGCACUCGAUACUGCGAGGCUAGAGUACUGGAGAGGUUGGUGGAAUUCUCGGUGUAGAGGUGAAAUUCGUAGAUAUCGAGAGGAACACCGGUGGCGAAGGCGGCCAACUGGACAGAUACUGAUGACUGAGACUC
rnacentral:rRNA from 1 species